rnacentral:rRNA from 1 species
GGACAGAAAGACCCUAUGAAGCUUUACUGUAACUUGAGAUUGAAAUUGGACUUUAUUUGCGCAGUAUAGGUGGGAGACGUUGAGACUAUUCUUGCGGGAAUAGUGGAGUCAUCAGUGAGAUACCACUCUUGUAAUGUUAGAUUUCUAACUUUGAAUCAUUAUCUGGUCAAAGGACAGUUUCAGGCGGGCAGUUUGACUGGGGCGGUCGCCUCCCAAACGGUAACGGAGGCGCACAAAGGUUUCCUCUGAACGUGUAGAAAUCGUAUCUAGAGUGUAAAGGCAUAAGGAAGCUUGACUGUGAGACCUACAAGUCGAGCAGGGACGAAAGUCGGUCUUAGUGAUCUGACGGUGCUGAGUGGAAAGGCCGUCACUCAACGGAUAAAAGUUACUCUAGGGAUAACAGGCUGA